UACAGAGGUCCCAAGCGUUGUUCGGAUUCACUGGGCGUAAAGGGUGCGUAGGCGGUCGGGUAAGUCUGAUGUGAAAUCUCACAGCUUAACUGUGAAACUGCAUUGGAUACUAUCCGGCUAGAGGAAUGGAGGGGAGACUGGAAUACUUGGUGUAGCAGUGAAAUGCGUAGAUAUCAAGAGGAACACCAGUGGCGAAGGCGAGUCCCUGGACAACUUCUGACGCUGAGGCACGAAAGCUAGGGGAGCAAACAGG
rnacentral:rRNA from 1 species